AUUGAACGCUGGCGGCAGGCCUAACACAUGCAAGUCGGGCGAGCGGCGGACGGGUGAGUAAUGUAUGGGGAUCUGCCUGAUGGAGGGGGAUAGCCUCGGGAAACCGGGAUUAAUACCGCAUACGGUAUGAUGGGCUCGCGUCUGAUUAGCUAAUUGGUGAGAUAAAAGCCCACCAAGGCGACGAUCAGUAGCCGGUCUGAGAGGAUGAACGGCCACAUUGGAACUGAGACACGGUCCAAACUCCUACGGGAGGCAGCAGUGGGGAAUAUUGCACAAUGGGGGAAACCCUGAUACAGCCAUGCCGCGUGUAUGAAGAAGGCCUUCGGGUUGUAAAGUACUUUCAGUCGGGAGGCGUUACCGACAGAAGAAGCACCGGCUAACUCCGUGCCAGCAGCCGCGGUAAUUC
rnacentral:rRNA from 1 species